UUUCCCUUUUUGGAACACGAAACAAGGAGUUUAUUUUACAUGCGAGUAAAUGAGUAUAUGAAAAUUAUUUGCAGAAAAAACUUGACUGUUAUGGGGAUUCGUGUUAUACCCUUGUGUUUGCCCCUCCCUUCCGUGGUAUUGCUAUCAACCUUCCCCGCAAAGGGUAUGGGCCAUAUACAAUGAGCCUGCCGGAUGGGACCCGAAAGAUGGUGAAAUAUGCCUGAUCCGGUUGAAGUCAGGGGAAAACCUGAUGGGGGGCCGAAACAAUUUUGACGUGCAAAUCGAUUGUUGGAAAUGGGCAUAGGGGGGAAAGGAUAAUUGAACCAAUCUAGUAGCUGGUGGCUUCCGAAGUUUCCCUCAGGAUAGCUGGAGCAUAAAAUGUCCAACAACUCAUACCUGGUAAAGCGAAUGAUUAGAGGCCUUAGGAACGAAAUGUUCUUAACCUAUUCUCAAACUUUAAAUGGGUAUGUAAGCUAACAUACUUGAUUGAUGUUGGCCUGGUGUCGUCGCAAGACGACUGUAAGAUUGUAUGCUCCAAGUGGGCCAAGUUUUGGUAAGCAGAACUGGUGCUGCGGGAUGAACCGAACGCGUUGUUAAGGCGCCCAAAUAAACGACGCAUCAUCGAUACCAUGAAAGGUGUUGAUUGCUGAAGACAGCAGGAUCAGGAUUCGUU
rnacentral:rRNA from 1 species